rnacentral:rRNA from 1 species
UAGGGAAUCUUCGGCAAUGGACGAAAGUCUGACCGAGCAACGCCGCGUGAGUGAAGAAGGUUUUCGGAUCGUAAAACUCUGUUGUUAGAGAAGAACGUUGCAUAGAGUGGAAAAUUAUGCAAGUGACGGUAUCUAACCAGAAAGGGACGGCUAACUACGUGCCAGCAGCCGCGGUAAUACGUAGGUCCCGAGCGUUGUCCGGAUUUAUUGGGCGUAAAGCGAGCGCAGGUGGUUUAAUAAGUCUGAUGUAAAAAGGCAGUGGCUCAACCAUUGUGUGCAUUGGAAACUGUUAGACUUGAGUGCAGUAGAGGAGAGUGGAAUUCCAUGUGUAGCGGUGAAAUGCGUAGAUAUAUGGAGGAACACCGGUGGCGAAAAGCGGC